rnacentral:rRNA from 1 species
UACAGAGGGGGCAAGCGUUGUUCGGAUUCAUUGGCGUAAAGGGUGCGUAGGCGGCGCGGUAAGUCGGGUGUGAAAUCUCGGAGCUUAACUCCGAAACUGCAUUCGAUACUGCCGUGCUUGAGGACUGGAGAGGAGACUGGAAUUUACGGUGUAGCGGUGAAAUGCGUAGAUAUCGUAAGGAAGACCAGUGGCGAAGGCGGGUCUCUGGACAGUUCCUGACGCUGAGGCACGAAGGUCAGGGGAGCAAACGGG